GACGAACGCUGGCGGCGUACCUAAUACAUGCAAGUAGAACGCUGAAGAGAGGAGCUUGCUCUUCUUGGAUGAGUUGCGAACGGGUGAGUAACGCGUAGGUAACCUGCCUUGUAGCGGGGGAUAACUAUUGGCAACGAUAGCUAAUACCGCAUAACAACGGCUGAUUCAUUGCAUUUAUUUGAAAGGGGCAAACGCUCCAAUACAAGAAGGACCUGGGUUGUAUUAGCUAGUAGGUGACGUAACGCCUCACCUAGGCGACGAUACAUAGCGGACCUGAGAGGGUGAUCGGCCACACUGGGACUGAGACACGGCCCAGACUCCUACGGGAGGCAGCAGUAGGGAAUCUUCGGCAAUGGGGGCAACCCUGACCGAGCAACGCCGCGUGAGUGAAGAAGGUUUUCGGAUCGUAAAGCUCUGUUGUAAGUCAAGAACGAGUGCGAGAGUGGAAAGUUCACACUGUGACGGUAGCUUACCAGAAAGGGACGGCUAACUACGUGCCAGCCGCCGCCGUAA
rnacentral:rRNA from 1 species